rnacentral:misc_RNA from 1 species
UUUCCGUAGGUGAACCUGCGGAAGGAUCAUUACUGAGUCUUGAAUGAAGUUGUUCUGGUCUUUCGGGGCAAGUGAACGCUUCUCUCAAUCCAUCUUACACCUGUGCACCUAUCGGGGAAGACUUGGAUCUAAGUUGGGUCACGACGGCGAUCUACAGUCUCCUCUUUAUACCAAAUAACAGUUUUAGAAAGUCUUUUUUGCUUGAUGCAAACUUAAAUAAAUACAACUUUCAGCAACGGAUCUCUUGGCUCUC